CCAAUAGCGUAUAUUAAGGUUGUUGCAGUUAAAAAGCUCGUAGUUGAAUUUCGGGAUCAAUACGUCGGUCGUGCUUUCGGGUACGUACUGGCGUCAUUGGUUUCUCCUUUCUGACGAACCAUGAUGUCAUUAAUUUGGUGUUAUGGGGAGUUAGGACUGUUACUUUGAAAAAAUUAGAGUGUUUAAAGCAGGCAUUAGCUUGAAUACAUUAGCAUGGAAUAAUGAAAUAGGACGUUCGAUCCUAUUUUGUUGGUUUCUAGGAUCAACGUAAUGAUUAAUAGGGAUAGUUGGGGGCAUUAGUAUUCAAUUGUCAGAGGUGAAAUUCUUGGAUUUAUUGAAGACUAACUACUGCGAAAGCAUUUGCCAAGGAUGUUUUCAUUAAUCAAGAACGAAAGUUAGGGGAUCGAAGACGAUCAGAUACCGUCGUAGUCUUAACCAUAAACUAUGCCGACUAGGGAUCGGAUGAUGUUAAUUUUUUAAUGACUCAUUCGGCGCCUUACG
rnacentral:rRNA from 1 species